AGAUCCUCCCAAUGGUAUGUUUUUUUGUGUGUAAUAUAUAUAUACCAAAACCAACGUGGAAUAAGACGUUCUCUUGAUGUUUUGUAGGAACCGAUUUGUCUUUUUAUGUCAUAAACCCUGAGAAAUGCUUUCUCGCUUCAACAUUCAUCAGCCAUGGAAAGUUCGAUUCUUUUCUCGUUCAAUUGGAAACCCAGAUGCCAUUUUGGUGGGAUCAUGUUCCUCUUCCUCUCUUCCAUCCCCAGAGCCAUCGACUAAACCUUCUUCUGAUCAAAACCAGAUCUUCCCGCUGAACAAACUUAUUGCAAGACAUGUACAUUCUGGAGAUAUAGAUGGAGCUCUCAGAGUGUUCCACGGAAUGGGAGCUAAGAACACCGUCACAUGGAACUCCCUGCUCGUUGGGUUUUGUAAAGAUCCAAGUAGAACGAAGGAAGCACACCAGCUGUUCGACGAAAUCCCUGAACCAGAUGCUUUCUCCUACAACAUCAUGCUAUCUUGCCACGUUCGCAACGGAAACUUCGAGAAAGCUCAGAGCUUCUUCGACCAGGCUCCGUUCAAGGACUCUGCGUCAUGGAACACGAUGAUCACAGGGUACGCUCGACGAAAGGAAAUGGAAAAAGCGCGGGAACUGUUCUACGCCAUGAAAGAUAAAAACGAGGUUUCUUGGAAUGCAAUGAUCUCUGGUUACGUAGAGAGCGGGGAUUUGGAAACGGCGUCACGUUUCUUCAAAGAGGCUCCGGUUAGAGGCGUGGUGGCGUGGACAGCGAUGAUCACAGGGUACAUGAAGGCCAAUAAGGUUGAAUUAGCUGAGGCUGUGUUCAAAGACAUGACAGUGAAUAAAAACCUCGUAACUUGGAACGCUAUGAUCUCUGGUUACGUCGAAAACUCUCGUGCGGAAGAUGGAUUGAAGCUUUUUAAAGCAAUGCUAGAGGAAGGCACUAGGCCUAACUCGUCUGGACUGAGCAGCGUUCUGCUCGGAUGCAGCGAGUUAUCGGCCUUACGGUUUGGGAGGCAAGUUCAUCAGAUAGUGUGCAAAUCAUCUACACUGUGUAACGACAUAACGGAGUUGACGUCUCUGGUAAGCAUGUACUGCAAAUGUGGAGAGCUUGGUGAUGCUUGGAAGCUCUUUCAGGGGAUGAAGAUGAGAGACGUUGUGGCGUGGAACGCGAUGAUCUCCGGGUACGCACAGCACGGGAAAGCUGAGAAGGCUUUGUCUUUGUUCAGUGAGAUGAGAGAUGAGAAGACCAGACCGGAUUGGAUAACGUUUGUUGCAGUUUUGCUGGCUUGCAACCAUGCUGGGAUGGUGGAUACUGGCGUAGAGUAUUUCGAUUCCAUGGUGAGAGAUUACAGGGUGGAACCAAGGCCUGAUCAUUACACGUGUAUGGUUGAUCUUUUGGGCCGAGCUGGGAAGCUGGAGGAGGCGUUGGAGCUGAUAAAAUCAAUUCCGUUUAAGCCGCACGCCGCUGUCUUUGGGACGCUCUUGGGGGCUUGUAGAGUGCACAAGAACGUGGAGUUGGGUGAACUCGCAGCUGAGAAACUGCUUGAGCUUGAUCCGAGAAACGCAGCCGGGUAUGUGCAGCUUGCGAACAUCUACGCUUCGAGGAACCGUUGGGAAGACGUUGCAAGGGUUCGCAAGAGAAUGAAGCAGAGCAACGUUGUGAAGGUACCUGGUUAUAGCUGGAUAGAGAUUCGAAACAAGAUUCACCAUUUCAGGUCAAGCGAUAGGAUUCACCCGGACCUAGACGCAAUACACAAGAAGCUGAAGGAGUUGGAGAAGAAGAUGAGACUAGCUGGAUACAAACCGGAGCUAGAGUUUGCUUUACACGACGUAGAGGAAGAGCAGAAGGAGAAGCUCUUGUUAUGGCAUAGCGAGAAGUUAGCUGUUGCUUAUGGGUGCUUAAAGCUCCCUGAGGGGUCACGGAUACAGGUGUUCAAGAACCUGAGGAUCUGCGGUGAUUGCCAUAAAGCAAUCGAAUUUAUGUCGGAGAUAGAGAGACGAGAGAUCGUAGUGAGAGACACGACAAGGUUUCACCAUUUCAAAGAUGGGUCUUGCUCUUGUGGCGGUUACUGGUAAAAAAGACGAAGAGUUUUGACACUGGACAGGUCAAAUCUGAUGCGAGGACAGUAUUUAAAUACGUUAGUGUGUGAAUAAAGUUUCGACCCUUUGACUUGACAAAGUUGCGUUAAGGAAGGAAGGAUGCGUAGAUCGGCGAGUGGCUCAAGAGUUUCUGAUCAAUCACCGUCACCGUCUCCGCCUCGAUCUCAGAGUGUUGCGUUUAUGGAAGAUGAUGUGGAGCUGCUGUUGCCAAGGUACGACCCGAGUUCUCAACCGGGGAAGAGAGAGAAGUCACGGUUGAGAUCUGCAGAAAACGUCAUCCAUUUCAUUCCUCUCUUCUUCUGCUCUGUGUUGUAAUCCUCUGGCUCUUUUCUCAUUCAGUCGCAAUACUAAACCAGUGAUGGACCUGGAAUUUGUCAGCGGCUUGAAGGAGUUGAUUUGAGUGGAAGAAGACAAUUGUUGUUGAUUGUUUACAUGGGAAUGAAACAUAUUUUUACUGCAAGACUUCGAUGAGAUGGGGCCCAGCCAGUCAAAUGAUAUUGUCUGAAUGAAAUUUCUAUUUGAGAUCACUAUUUAUAAUAGUCCUUGAUUUUUAUUA